rnacentral:lncRNA from 1 species
CUGCCACAUGAUUUCUAGUACUUUGAUGGAAAAUGAAGAAUCUUAGCAGUUUGUAGAGGAAAAGGAGAGUGAGAGGUGUCCCUUUAGUCAGGACCUUGAACUUGUGGUGAGAAAUGAUGUGUAAUGCAGGGGAAAAUCAACACUACAACAGAUAUAGGCCACUUUGAGGCUGCAGGGAGGAGAGAUAUCUUAUGUAAGCCAUCUGAUACACCUGGAGCAGAAAGUACUUCUGGGUACAAAACAUCUCCUUAUCCAGAUUAGUCAAAAUUAGGAGAGAUUAGACCAACAAAAUAGGUAGAUUAGAUUGUGCCCUGUGGUGUUAAAUGGUUUUUAGCCUCCCAGCUGUAGCACGGGCAGAGCCUUAUCUCAUCAAACUACGCUCAGAAUGAAGCUUCGGGGCCUUUUCCAGCUACAAUCAUUUGUACUGGUUCACCUUAUUUGAGAGAAAGUUCCUGAGGACAUCAAUGGACAUCUCUGGGCAGAAGGGGUUGCAAGUAGCCAAAAUCAAAUGCUACCACUGGGAGGCAUCACUGGUAGGAGAGAGUCUCAGUUUCGCACCAGUUGCGCUACUGCUGGUAAGACAGUCAUCUGGGUCCUGAGAUAAGUUUGUCUUCCUGAAUCCUACUGAAGAGCUGAUCUAAAAGCCUUCUCUGGCACAGAUGGGCAAAAAGUAUCUGUCUCUACUGGAGCACUUCUGAUGGAGUUGGCUUUACACCAUCUCAAGAGAUGCUCUGCCUCAGGGAUGGGCUUUUCUAGAUCUCCCUGUGUUGAGGGGUAUGGAAUAAAUAUUCUCCAAGGCUUUGUGAAUCAAAAGUUUUCGUCUGCCCAUGGCUAUACAUGACAGCAAUGUUGAAAGAUUAGCAAUAAGAAAGGUCAAUAAGAAGGUCAGAAGUGGGGGAGCCUUAUGGAAAAGAUGACCUUUAAUGAGUAGGUUUAAGAACAAAGGACACAAGUCAUUUGGUAACCCAGAGCAUCUAAGUGAAUAUGAAAGGGGAGAUACGCUAAAAGCAUUGUCAUUAUUUGCAGUGUCUGAGAUGGACUGGAGCAGUUAAAGAACAUCCAACCAUGAAUUUAUUGAAUGGAGAAUAAGCCAACAGAGGUCUCAUUUCUGACAUGCAUUGUUUCUCCAGAAUGUUGAUUCUCAAGCAUUUCAUCCUUCAGAUACCCUGCAUGUACAUGAGCUUGAGUCCAAAGUAACUUUUUCAUCCUAAUUAUUUUGAGAAUUUUACAGUUAGAGACCAUUGUGACAGCAUGAUAUUUUGGAGUAUUACAAAAGGAGGGGGGAAACUGCUGAUACUAAGGGAUCAAAGACCUAGAAUAAGUAUGUGCAACUUACUACGUCCUCACAAAUUGUGAACGACUUU